rnacentral:lncRNA from 10 species
AUAAUGUGCAUUGACACACCUAACAAGUCAAAGUAUUGUCUUUUGCUGGUCUGCUCUGGUCCUGGAAACAUCCACUGAUAGAAUCACUGGUCUGGGACAAAUUGUGGUACCCAAAGACCUCAGGAAGCACUUAGAAGCAUUACUCCUGAAGUCCCAUUCGUCCCAAGAAGAGUUGCUGGCUGGAGGAGACAAUAUGUAAACAUGUCAUGACAAGAUGGUGUGGUGAGUGCUAUGUUGGCAUGUUGGAGGCAAGCAUAGCCAUGCUCACAGUGAGGAAUGACUUAGGAGCGCAACCACAGCCCCAUGCUACCUUCCACCAUUUGGAUAAAAGAAGGAAAAUGCCUUCAAAUUGCGAUCCAUCAAGUCUGAGAUAAUCUGUUAUGGCAACGUAAGAAGCUAAUACAAGAUGCAGGAGUGAAGCAGCGAGGUCUGGAAAAAAGCUAUUGCAAAAAUACAGAGACAGCAGGGUUCAGGCUUCGAGUUGUGGUGCAAUUGGCCCACAUCCACCCCACCCUCUCUUCACGCAGCAGAUGACUGGGACAUAAAGAAGCUGAUGGGGCCACUGCCACCGAAUUUCCACCUGCAGCCCUUCUCGGGGGCCACCACCAUGCUCCUCAACAGCUGUCACUGACAGGACAGAGCUUGAGGAUCUUGAGGAGCUACUGACCCUGCAGAACCGCUCUGAGACCAGGGGGAGCUUUUCCAGGUGAAACGAUUCAUGGCUAGGCUGAUUUAACUAAUGGGUUUUUCAUCAGAGUAAUACAUAUUCAGAUAUGUCCCAUGCUCAGUGAUGGCAUCAAGCAAUGUCAGGAUUAGAUGGGAAAUUAGAGGCAAUUUGCUCCAAGUGUCUACUUGUGUACCCUCCACAGACGUAUCCAUGCAAUGGUCUUCUGUCUUCUAGGAAGCUCCCAAGUUCAUUUUUUAUUCAAAGCGAACCAGGAGAGUUCUGUCUACACUCAUUUCUAUGCAUAGAACUUGACGCUUUAAAAAGACAAUGCUGAAUUCUAGUUUCCCUGCCCCUACACCAGCCCAAUCCUCUGUUCUUAUUCCCAUCUGACGGUGUCACCCAGGGCACUAACCCAGUAGUACCAGGCACCGAAUAGGCAUCCAGUAGGUGUUGAAUGUCGUAUGUAGCGGACAAGGGCCACUUUGGAAAGUCAUGUUUCAUCGCUUCACUCCUCCCUGUGAGUCUGGGUGCUCUGAAGCCCCUCUCUCGAUCCCCCCAUGAGACACACAGAAUUUAGACCCUGUCAUCAAUGUUAAAGGUCAGCUAACAUGGUUUCCAAACCAAGCAUGUGUCACCAUGUAUCACUUGGGCUUGAACCCAGGUUGGCUGAAUUAUCCAUGCAUCUAGGCAACCACCUAUACAUCCAUUCAUGCAGCUCAUGGAAAUGUUUGGAGUGCAAGCACAGUUCCAGGUGUUGUGGCAGAUACAAAGAAUAUGAUAGAGGGCCUGGUCCUGGUGGAUCCAGGAUGUUGUGGGGGAGACUGUUCUAAUGAGCCAUCUCUGUGUUGAGUUAUGUGAUAAGAGCUGUGAUAGAGAUUCUGCAAAGAAUCCGGGCCUGGGCAUUCAGGCCUGGGAUCUGCACAAGUGGGUCCUCGUGCUGCCCUUAUUUAAGGCUCAAAAGGUACCACUCUCCCAGACAUCAAUACCACUUCACUGUCAAAUUUCCCUUCCCACAAUCCUGUCCUGUGGUGGUGUGCUGGAGAGGGAGCAUUACCUCCAGUGUCCCUUAACCAUACCUAAGAAUAUAACUACACAGGCAGAUCACGAGGUCAGGAGAUCGAGACCAUCCUGGCUAACAUGGUGAAACCCCAUCUGUACUAAAAAUACAAAAAAUUAGCCGGGCGUGGUGGCGGGUGCCUGUAGUUCCAGCUACUCAGGAGGCUGAGGCAGGAGAAUCACUUGAACCCAGGAGGCGGAGGUUGCAGUGAGCUGAGAUCGCACCACUGCACUCCAGCUUGGUGACAAAGCAAGACUCCGUCUAAAAAAAAAAGAUAUAUAUAUAUAUACAUAUAUACGUAUAUAUGUAUAUAUAUGUGUGUAUAUAUAUGUAUAUAUACACACAUAUAUAUACAUAUAUACGUAUAUACAUAAAUAUAUAUAAAGAUAUUUAUAUAUAUAAAGAUAUAUAUAUACACACACACACACACCCAACUAAAGGUGUUUAUUUCUAAAUAGAUGAAGAAAUAUGUAA